CAGAGGAAUUCGUCAUGCCGCAGCAAUGCAGCUGGAAAAAGAAGAAGAAAAAAAAACCUUUAUGCAACAGAAUCUGAUCCUAAAGGAAAUCGCUACUGCUGCAGUUACCAGAACCAAGCAUGGACAAGCAGCAUUCAGCUUCUAUGCACCACAAAUCUGGAACAAACUUCCAGAAAACUGAAGAACAGCAGAAACACCCAGUUCCUUUAAAGGUAGACUAAUAGCCCAGCUAUUCAGAGCUGCUUUAUAAUAAAUAAAACACUUUAAUAAAUGAAACACUAACCGACA